rnacentral:misc_RNA from 1 species
ACCCCUCCAAGAAACUCAAAACCAUCAUCGUCAGUCCGUCACCGUCAUUUCACCACCGCCUCCACCGCUGCAGCCACUUCCACAAACUCUAUCUUCCUGACCUGAUUUUUUUAGCUAAUGAGAAGCAGCAACGAAUCGUUUCCUUGCGCAGUUUUAUUGAUUAGGAAGUGGAAUUUUGCCACUGGCCUGAUGCGUUUCCUACUUGGCGGCGUCCUUCUGCCAGCAAAUGCAAGGCCAAACCAGACGGAGAAUGCUCCAGUUUGUGUUCGCAGUGCCAUGAUUAAUUUGAAAGCUUAGUCAGGUAUAAGCAAAGGCGAUGGGA